GGCUCGAUUGCUAUUGCACCACAUGUGUUUUUCUUUGAAACAAACUUGCUUUGGCGGUGGGCCCAGCCUGCCGCCAGAGGUCUAAACUUACAACCAAUUUUUUAUCAACUUGUCACACCAGAUUAUUACUAAUAGUCAAAACUUUCAACAACGGAUCUCUUGGUUCUCGCAUCGAUGAAGAACGCAGCGAAAUGCGAUACGUAAUAUGAAUUGCAGAUAUUCGUGAAUCAUCGAAUCUUUGAACGCACAUUGCGCCCUCUGGUAUUCCGGAGGGCAUGCCUGUUUGAGCGUCGUUUCUCCCUCAAACCGCUGGGUUUGGUGUUGAGCAAUACGACUUGGGUUUGCUUGAAAGACGGUAGUGGUAAGGCGGGAUCGCUUUGACAAUGGCUUAGGUCUAACCAAAAACAUUGUUUGCGGCGGUAACGUCCACCACGUAUAUCUUCAAACUUUGACCUCAAAUCAGGUAGGACUACCCGCUGAACUUAAGCAUAUCAAAAGCCGGAGGAA
rnacentral:rRNA from 1 species